GACGAACGCUGGCGGCGUGCUUAACACAUGCACGUCGAACGAAGUGGCGAACGGGUGAGUAACGCGUAAUCAACCUGCCCUUCAGAGGGGAACAACAGUUGGAAACGACUGCUAAUACCGCAUACAGAAGGAGGGGAUUGCGUCUGAUUGGCUAGUGGGAGGGGUAACGGCCCACCAAGGCGAUGAUCAGUAGCCGGUCUGAGAGGAUGAACGGCAACAUGGGGACUGAGACACGGCCCAGACUACUACGGGAGGCAGCAGUGGGGACUCUUCCGCAAUGGACGAAAGUCUGACGGAGCAACGCCGCGUGAGUGAUGACGGCCUUCGGGUUGUAAAGCUCUGUUAAUCGGGACGCGGUACCGGAAUAGAAAGCCACGGCUAACUACGUGCCAGCCGCCGCGGUAAUUC
rnacentral:rRNA from 1 species